rnacentral:rRNA from 1 species
UACGGAGGGGGUUAGCGUUGUUCGGAAUGACUGGGCGUAAAGCGCGCGUAGGCGGAUCGGAAAGUCGGGGGUGAAAUCCCGGGGCUCAACCCCGGAAUGGCCUUCGAAACUCCCGGUCUUGAGUUCGAGAGAGGUGAGUGGAAUUCCGAGUGUAGAGGUGAAAUUCGUAGAUAUUCGGAGGAACACCAGUGGCGAAGGCGGCUCACUGGCUCGACACUGACGCUGAGGAGCGAAAGCCAGGGGAGCAAACGGG